ensembl:lncRNA
CACACACACACACACACACACACACACACACACACACACACCUCGGGUCCAGAAGUACUGCGGGGACCAGCUAUGCGGCAGCACCUCAGCCUGAGCAAGGAGAAGGUUCCUGCAGCACCUCUUCAGCCUCAGCGUCGGUGGUGCACAGGGGGCCGUGGACAGGGAGCUGGUGGUCUGCUUUGAGACGUGGUGUGGGAACAAUCACCUCCUCUUACACGUGACCAAGAUGAAGGAGAAAGAUGUGAAUAUAAGGAGGACCAGGACUGAGCUGAACACCAUUUUUCAUCCUGGGAGACGAGGUGGACGUGGCGGAGGAGGGAUACAGAUACCUGGGUGAUCACCAUGACAACAGACUUGACUGGAAAUGGAACACUGAGAGGCUAAAGGAGCUGAAACAGAGAGAGUUUGCCCGGAACGUGGCCUCAAAGUCCUGGAAGGAUGAGAGGAAGCAGGAGCGAGCGCUGAAGCGCCUGUACCAGCUGGCCCAGCUCAGACAGCAGUCAGACAGCGAGAGGAGUCCCAGUCUGCCCCCUGUGACCCCUGUGGCUCCCAGCACGGAGGAGGCCCCCGAGGAGGAGCAAGGACCAGCGCCCCACACCACCUCCUCUCCAGCGCCCUCCACCCGCCCUCGCUCCCGCUCCAGCCCUUCAGCGCCUCUCUGGAGCCGCAAGGCGCCACCCUCCGCCGCCGCCUCUGCCCCCCUCUCCCUGGGCAGACCGUGCCGGCGGCCCCCUCAUCCCCCUCACGGCCCUCGCGUGGGCAUCUCCUUCUGCUUCUCGCGCCGCGCCGUGCCCAAGCUGGACUCCUGCGCCUCGGUGUUCGCCGACGCGCCCGACGACGAGUUCCAGAGGCCCGGAGGAAGGAGGCCCAGCCUCCACGCCCUCCCGUCCCACUCUCCUUCACCCUCCCACGGGCACGACGGCGACCUCGGCAGCCCCCUAAGGCCCCCAGAAAAUCUGGAAUUAAACGAGGCCAGGGCACGGCUGGAGGACACGAAAGAGAGGGAGAAGAGGAGGGAGGGACGGAGUGAUGAAACGGGAGAGAAAGACACCUCGUCGAGAGACGGCUCCUCUCACGCUCCGGAGUGUGUGUGUGUGUGUGCACAUGCUGACUCUAACCCAAGCAACUGUCACCCUCCCUGCGUGUGCGUGUGUGUGUGUGUGUGCGACCCAGAGAAACCCCACGCAGGACCUCAGAUGCACUCGACCCACAUUCACCCCCACAUGCACACAGCUCCUUCCCCCGAGCUGCAAGGACAGGAUGUUGAGGCGGAUCCUGUUUGGGACUCAGCAGAGGCGGGGGGACAAGGGCACCUGUGUAAAUCAGGCUGCCACAGCUCCGAGGAGGAGGAGGAAGAGGAGGAGGAGGAGGAGGAAGGCUCAUUCAUCAGUGUCCUGGCGAAAGACGGAGGGCCGUCUCUCAGGUGGCCCUUGGAGCUGCUGGGCUACACACACACGGAGCCCCAUCUGCCCUACAGCUGCAACCCCUGCCACGCUCAGACGCACACACUCCGCCUCUACACACACCGGGAGGACGCACACACACGCCACAGUACCCCCGCCGAGAGUGAAGACACACACACACGCCGCCUCUACACACACACGGAGGACGCACAAACACGCCACAGUACCCCCGUCGCGAGCGAAGACACACACACACGCCGCCUCUACACACACACGGAGGACGCACAAACACGCCACAGUACCCCCGCCGAGAGUGAAGACACGAUCCCUAAUCUGACACCAACACAAGACACGGUGUGCUGUGUGACACCCAACGCACACGACGAGACGUCCUCCCAUAUCACGUCAGCAUCAGAGACACACACACACUCAGGAACACCUGAAGCAGGGGAAGACACACACACACACUCCAGAACACCUGAGGCAGGGGAAGACACACACACACACUCAGCGGCACCAUGCAAGCACACACAUGGUAAAAGGAGGCCUGGUGUAGACUGCACAGAGCGCCCCGUCACACACACACACACGCUUACACACCUCAAAAGGGCCCCACAUGCAAACACACACAUGCUGCUCUCACAGAGCCCCAGCACAUUGGCACGAGCUCAUCUCAAGCGGAGAAGCACAGCGGAGGAGGAAGACGAGGAGGAAGACAUGGGAUUGGGAUGCCGAGAAACGGAGGCCGUGUUUGUGACGGCGGAACCCGAGCGGCCAUCGCCUCCGGCCAGGCCCAAGCGCCGCCGCAAGCACAGCGGGAGGAAGACGAAGGGGGCGGCGGCGGCGGCAGACACGAACACAACGUGUGACAAAGGACAGCGAGGAGGACCGCACGCGAGGAGGAAGAGGAAGAGAGCCGCAGCGGAGGGGGUGAGUUCCAGCCGGGUUGCCAUGGCGACGCCGGAGCCUAGCCUGAGGAGCGUGGUGGUGAAGUCGUUCUCCGCUCCGCCGAGCAAGCGGGGCGAAACGAGACGCCGCGCGGAGAGAAGGGUGGCGAAGGCUCUGCGCCUCGAGCGAUGGACGCCCUUCUCCCCUGAACCCGCCUCCGGCUGCUCGGCGACGACGGCUGACGACCACAGCUGGAGUUACGACUUUGACGUCUAUAAACAAGAUGACAGCUACAAGGUAACGCCCAGAGACAGGCACAGUUAUGAAGACCGAGAGACAGAUAUGCGCUGCGAGGCGUGGGAUGACCCCGCAUGUGACGACCCUGCAUGGGAUGACCCCCAAUGGGAUGACCCCUCACCCGCCCGGGUCAUCUUUCGGCCUUCCUGGAGUCGAGGCAACAGUCAGCCUCGUUCUUACAUCUGUGUACCGAGCUACAACCCAGGCUUCAGGCACUGUAGGGACAGCCUCAACAGUGAAGGACCCCACCGAUUAGUGACAACAGACAGGCACUGUAGAGACAGCCUCAACAGUGAAGGACCCCACAGAUUAGUGACAACAGACAGGCACUGUGAGGACCGCCUCAACAGUGAAGGACCCCACAGAUUAGUGACAACAGACAGGCACUGUAGAGACAGCCUCAACAGUGAAGGACCCCACAGAUUAGUGACAACAGACAUCACGGGCCUGCAGCACUUCAGGGUAGCCUACGGCACAGCCGGCCAUCACAGGGACAGUUGUGGCCACAGGAGGACGUAUCAGUCAUUACGUGACAGGGGAACGAGCAGAUGCAUUGUGGGCCGGUGUAAUGGGCACAGAGAGAGUGGAGGAUGGGAGGAGGAGGAGGAGGAGGAGUGCAGGAGGAGGUGGGAGAGCAGGACACUUAGUCCCGAGAGGAGGUGUGAGAACAGGACACUUAGUCCCGGGAGGAGGUGUGAGAGCAGGACACUCAGCCCCCCCGGGAGGAGGUGUGAGAACAGGACACUUAGUCCCGGGAGGAGGUGUGAGAGCAGGACACUCAGCCCAGGGAGGAGGUGGCACAGGCACAGGGAAAGCAGAGAGAGGGACUACAUGAGGCCCAGGAGUCCCAGACUAAGGGGAGGACCGUGGGCCUACAGCCCCAGAGAGGUGAGCCUGGAUCGGGAGGAGGAGGAGGACGCGCGGCACAGCCCCGGUUCCACGCGGAGCGCCGGCUCCUCCACCAACACCAGCAUCUCGGAGCUCAGCUCCGACUGGGGCGCUGCUGCUGCUGGACAUGUUGGCCGGUGCUCGGGCAGAACCACCACGCAGGGCGCUGCCAACCAGCGGGCGGCGCCACGGCGAUCAGGUCCAGCCGCCCACGGAGAUAAACACGCGGCAACCACGCCACCAUCGCUCAUGCCCACGAAGAGAGACACAGAGGGGGGUUGUCAGCCAGACAAACGUGCCCACUUUGUGAGGAGACAUUUGGCGGGAUGGAGCUGUGGCAGCGGCGGCGGUAGCAAAAGAGACUCGGGCGCAGGGGGGCGGCGAGCGAGAGAGGAUCUGCCCACACAAGCGCUCGCACGCGCAGCAGCCGACCCAGCGGGAGGGGUGCCCCCGGAGGACAAAACCCUGGAAGUAACGAGAACAAACGGCGCGCUGUCACACAACAAGCACAACGCCCACGCACGCUGCCGCGCUCCAGUCAAGCACACGCCGCUGUUGCCGCUGAUAGGGAAGCAGCCCGCGGUGAGGAGGGCGCUCGGCAAAGCAGCCAGCCACAAAGUCAAGAGAGGCUUCCGGAAAGAUCCGCUGCACGCCGGUGCAGACAGCAGCAAGCUCAUCGGCAGGGAAAGGAAAAGAAUAAGCCCCCUGGAGAACGGGGGAGAGACCAUGAUCAAUUCCCCCACUGACGUGACCUCUCUGCAGGCUUGUGUACGACCCACGUCCCCCUCCACAUCGGAUAGAGCCACAGCUGAACGUACUUCAAUCACCACGAUUACCUCUCUACAACAGGAAAGAUCUCCAUCCCCUAAACACGACGACAUCACGCCUCGAUCCGCCCAAUCAGACCGGGAGGAGGAGGGCAGGGGUCACAGAGACCCCGCCCCUCCUCUGAGUGAGCAGCCAAUCAUGUUUAGCGCGGAGGAGAUUGACAAGUACAGGCGCCUACAGCAGCAGGCCAGGCAGCACAUGCAGAGUCAGCUGCAGCAGGUGCCCGCCGAGGUGCCCAUGGACAUGCCCUCGGCCCCUGCCAUCUCUUUGCCCCUCAACACUCCUUCCGCCCCUUUUCCUUCCAUUUGCCCCAUCUCUCCAUCUCCACCCCUCCAUCAUCCCUCUCUCCUCCUCCCCCUCCACCACUCCUCUUCUCCUCUCUGCACUCAUCCCUCUCUCCCUCUCUCCCCCCUCCACUCCUCUUCUCCUCUUCAUCCCUCUCUCCCUCCCCUCCACUCCUCCUCUCCUCUCUGCCCUCAUCCCUCUCUCCCUCUCUCCCCCCGCUCCUUCUCUCUCCCCCUCCGUCCGUCGCCACUUUCCGCUCAUCCGUCGGCGGUGUUGACCUCUCAUCACCCCCCUCUUUUCCUCCUCCCUGCAUCAUCCCUCCAUCCCGCGCCCCUCUACCCUUCUCUGCAUGCAGCUUCUCUCCUCACCUCCCUGCUCUCACACACACACUCUCAAGCAUACGCAGCACACACACACUCUCCAGCAUACACACACACACAUAGACACCAGCUGCACAUCCACCCUCUCACUCACCCCCUCUACGCCCGACAGGACAUACACUCGUUGAUUGGAUCGACUAGUUAGUCCAUGUUACACACACAUACACACCCACACACACACACACACACACACACACACACACACACACACACACACACACAGAUACACACACACACCCACACACAUACACACACUCACACAUUUGUAUUGUUAUAGUUAAUUGAAUCUUCAGUAAUACACCAGGCCCUAAGUACCUUUUUGAGUUUUGUGUUGUGAUUUUUUUCAUAUGGUUGUACUCAGCCAACAUGUCUUUAUAAAAACUGCAUAAUGCAUUACACAUGUAUUCUUAUCCAUGCCUGUUCUUUUGGUCAAUAUGUAGAAGUACACGCCAGUGGUCCUUGCACAGACAGGUACACACACACACACACACACACACACACACACACACACACACACACACACACACACACACACACACGUCAGUGGUCCUUGCCAUUGUGUUAUUCUACCUGCACCAAGUCACAUUUAGAUUCUGGUCACUGCAAGCGUAUGCUUGAUGAAGAGAUCUUUUUUUUUUCUUUUCUUUUCCUGUUUUUUGUAUCUCCAUUUUACCUCUGCCUAUCCCAGUGCAAUCAAACAGAGUACCUGCAGACCUCUCAAUCCUGGCAUCGUUUGCAUAAUUUAACGUUUAUGCAAAUCAGAGGGACCGGUUUGUCCUGGCGUAGAAAACUGGAUUCUAUCAGUGGAGCCACUGGCCAACAAAAAAAAAACAUGCUGAUUUUGAUGUCUUUGAUGCCAGGUGGAAGAGCAUCAAAAAACGUAUCUUCAGUUGAUUACUGGGUUAAAUGCUUAAUCUGGAAA